AACGAACGCUGGCGGCAUGCCUAACACAUGCAAGUCGAACGAGACCUUCGGGUCUUGUGGCGCACGGGUGCUUAACGCGUGGGAACCUGCCCUUAGGUUCGGUAUAACUCCCCGAAAGGGGUGCUAAUACCGCUUAAUGUCUUCGGACCAAAGAUUUUUCGCUUUUGGAUGGGCCCGCGUUGGAUUAGCUAGUUGGUAGUGUAAAAGCCUCUCAAGGCGACGAUCCAUAGCUGGUCUGAGAGGAUGAUCAGCCACACUGGGACUGAGACACGGCCCAGACUCCUACGGGAGGCAGCAGUGGGGAAUAUUGGACAAUGGGCGAAAGCCUGAUACAGCAAUGCCGCGUGAGUGAUGAAGGCGUUAGGGUUGUAAAGCUCUUUUACCCGGGAUGAUAAUGACAGUACCGGGAGAAUAAGCACCGGCUAACUACGUG
rnacentral:rRNA from 1 species